UGAUUGAUGGUAACAAUAACUGUCUGAGGUUGCUGAAUAGCUCUUACAAAUAGCAGUGUGAGGUCC